rnacentral:lncRNA from 1 species
UUUUUUUAUUGCACACUUUGGAUGUUGGCACAGACUAUUUGCUGCCUCAUAGACACAUUAUGACAUGAAAGAAAGUGACCAGAGUCAGGAUUAAAUACUACAUUUAAAGGUAGAAAACACUGUAUCUCAUACUUGUCUAUUCUGUGACUAGUAUGUCAGUAUAUCUAUACCUAUAAUACACCCACUCCAAGCACAUUUGCUGAUGUUUUUAAAAACAUCUUUUCCUGUCCUACAUAAUUCUUUAAAACUUCUCUAUUAUCCUCUUUGGGGAGUGAGGACUUUCAAACCAAAAAACCUGGAUUUACCAGUCAGUUCUGCUACUUGACAGUUUAUAGUAUUUUAUUAUUACAUCUCUGAUCCUAGGAUUUCCUAUCUAUAAAUUGGGGUAUUGGGUAACAUUAUCUACCACGCAGGUUUUUAUUAGUUUGAAAUGAAGCCCAUAUUGAGUGACACAGUGCCUGGCACAAAGCAUGCCAUCACCACAUCUCUGUUGCAAUUAUAUUUGUUACUAACUUAGGACAAAGGGAUAUUUAAAUUAUUUUAUCUAUUUGUAAAUAUAAUCCAUAUACAUUUACCUUUAUAGGUAAUGCUUAAAUAAGAUUUGGUUUAUUUAUUUAGUUAGUUAGAUGUGUUAAACAUUUUCACCAAUCUCAUAUGCUUGAUAAUCUUGUUCUUCCUCUAGAAUUUUUAAUGCUAUUUUGUUUGGUCUAUCACUUACAUUUUCUCAUCAUCUCCACCAGUCAAUAUCAUUUAUCUGCUCCUAUAAUAACAUUAAUUUUUUUCAACAAAGGUUUGAAGUCCAUCUUAUUAAGCAAUAAAGAUCCCUCAAGUAAUAAUCCUUUUUAUUUUUCAGUACUGGGCAUUGAACUCAGGGAUGCUCUACCACUGAGGUACCUCCCCAUGGUUUUCAUUUCUUCUUUUGAGACAGGUUCUCACUAAAUUGCCCAAGGUGUCCUAAAUCUUGGUUCCUUCUGCUUCAGCAUCCCAAACUGCUAGUAUAAAAGGCAUGUGCAAUGGUCCCCAGCUUUUCUUUUAAAAGAUUACUUAGUUACUAUAGACCAAUCUGAAUUUUUAUUUCAAUUAAAAAGAAUUAUAAAAUUACCUUAAGAUUGAUAAAUUUAGUAUGUUAGCACAUACCAAUUAAGAGCAUGAAAACAAGUUAAUUUACCAAAUCUUAUGUUCUUU